GUAGGGAAUAUUGCACAAUGGGCGAAAGCCUGAUGCAGCAACGCCGCGUGCGCGAAGAAGGCCUUCGGGUUGUAAAGCGCUUUUCGGGGAGAAGAGGAAGGACAGUAUCCCCGGAAUAAGGCUCGGCUAACUACGUGCCAGCAGCCGCGGUAACACGUAGGAGCCAAGCGUUAUCCGAAUUCACUGGGCGUAAAGCGCGUGUAGGCGGUCUUACAAGUUGGGUGUGAAAGCUCCUGGCUCAACUAGGAGAGGACGUUCAAUACUGUGAGACUAGAGGACGGCAGAGGAAGGUGGAAUUCCCGGUGUAGUGGUGAAAUGCGUAGAUAUCGGGAGGAACACCAGAGGCGAAGGCGGCCUUCUGGGCCGAUCCUGACGCUCAGACGCGAAAGCUAGGGGAGCGAACGGGAUUAGAUACCCCUGUAGUCC
rnacentral:rRNA from 1 species